GGGAAGGAUUCCCAGGGCAGAAAUAAGUUUGGGUGCAUUUCGAGCUUUCUGUUCCUGCUUGUUUGCUUUUGCAGACGCUCACUCCGAAUGCGCGUGGAGCGCCCCACAGCACCACCGCCCUCCGCGCGCUAGCGCGCACACGCCCCCCACCAGCCUGGGCGCCGGGCUGCGAACCCCGGGUCUGCAAACUUGCGGAUCUCCCCUCGCCGCGCCCGCCAGACAACUUGGCGAGCGCCUCACGCGCCCGCACCCCCCUUCCUCCAUGGAGCCCUUCCUCCAAAUCCCAAACCCACCGCCGUGUUCCAGAGAAGGUGCCCCCGUCGCCCCCUGAUCCAGGAGCGCCCCCUCGCCACCCCCCGGGGCUUCCCAGGUCGCUCACUCCUCCCGCACCCCCUCAGCUCUGCGGGGGACCGAAAACACACCCUGUCUGAGGCAGCCGGGGCCGAAACUGUCAAGAGGAGAAAAGAGAUCGCUGGAGAUGGCGAGCUCCGAGACUCCCUCUAUCUUCUGUUUUCAGAGCAACUCUAUGCCCAGGGACAAAAUUAAGAUCAGCGAGAUGAUUCCGUGCCUACUUCUGAGACUCUCUCGGGAACAGAACUCGUCCCCAUCUGCAGGCGGCGUGAGAAGAGACAAAUGCGAUCAUCCACGGUGGGGAAUCGCAGGUAGCUCCCUGCCAGCCCACCCCAGGACUGAGGAGAAAAUAAAAAGGAAUUCGACCUGGGCCGACAGACACCCCAAGGAAGGAGGAGGUUGGGGGGGACGUGGCACUUCUUACUUCGGGAUGGGACGUCCAGUGGGUUUCCAGACUUAGUUUGAUACAUCUGUGUCUAAAACAGAUUUUGGGUCUAGAAUCGCCAUGGACAGCCAAUUUCUGGUGUGGUUGAAAGAGGUGGCUUUCAGCCGCUUUGCUGUUUCCUCUGAGAAGGAUCCAGAAACCACUUGGCAGGGCAGUUUCUACUGAAGAAAACUUUGGCCUGUUUGGUUGACGACUAUCUAAGCUGGUUGAAAUAUGCCACACUGCAUCUAGUUCCUGUGUGGCUGCUAAUUGUCAAUAUCCACUGGUCAUUUUGCUAUUAAAUGUACAGUCUCAUCCAUAAAAGAUAUACUGAAGAGGCAUUAAUAAUGUCUGGAUGAUAGAAUUCAGAUAAUUAACAGCUCCUGAUAAGUCACAUCAUUGUAGACAUUAUUCUGCACCUCCCUUCCAUUGAAACAUACCCAUCACACAGUAGGUGUUUAAUGAAAUCCAAGGGAAGUAGAGAAUUGCAUCAGUAUUACCGUGACCCCAAACUCCAAUAUGAAGGGACAAUACAAAUUGAAUGAGUGGAAACCAUUCAGGUGGUAGUAGCCUGACUUCUCUGCCUCAAUACUCGAUUCACCAGUUCUUUUUGCCUGCCCAGACACUGAUGAAAUCGGUACAUUUUUAACACACACCCCCACCAUCCUUUCAGAAAGCUCACAAAUUUUGACGAUAAAAAAUAUUAUUAUAUACCAGAAGGUGGCAUAAAUAUGUGUAUUUAGGGGGUUGGGAUGAGAGAAAGAAGUAGGGAACAUUUUGCUUUUUCUACCUUCCUGGUUUGGAAAAAGGCUUUUUAAAAAUAAGGUGGGAGGGGGGACCUAGUUAGAUAAUUGCUUAAGAGGAACCUCUAUAUGCCAAACUUCACACAUGGUUUGUGUUACUGUUACUGAUCUUGGUCUGAUUUCAGAUACACAAUGCUAUUUGCCAUGGUCUGUGUGUUAAAUCAGCAAAACCUGUGGUCCACUCUUCGGAGUGAUGUAAAUGAGAUGUGAACGGUUCUGAUACCUUAAUCCAGUCUCUGCAAGGAUCCCUGGCUUUAGCCUGUCUGUUGGCGCCUACAAACAAAGCCACGAUUGUCUCCUCCAUCCCAAAUCAGAUGUGUGGGUUUCCCCAUACAUCAAAGCACAGAUUUCCAGAACAGCCUUCACACCAUUUACAAUUGGUUAGCCUGUUAAUAAUGUUCUUGAUACAACUGACCUAUCUUGUCACUCUUGACUUUUCUAAGUAAACAAAUAUAUCAAAGUGCACAGUUUAAUAAAUAAGCGAGUGCCUCUGGGGAAGUGAAUAUCUCAAAAUAUAUCCACUGCUUCCAUAUUUAUUUUAAAAUAUUUUUAAACAAUUUUUCAUAUUAAAUUUCACCAAUAAUUCUAUUUGGGAUACAAGUGGCUCAAAACAUACCCCUGGCUCCUUUUUAGGUACCAGUAGCAACUCAUUAACAUUUUUCUGGUUAAGUCUAUUCCCCUGAGCCUUCAAUUGGUUCCUUUGCUCUUCUCUAAGCUGGUAUUUGUUCACCCUGGAAAGACCUUCCUGGAAAUGGCCCUAGUGACCUUAGUCAACUAAGAUAGAAUCCAUAUUCCCUUCAGCAGUAAAUUCCAGCUCCAAAAAGCCAUUCCUCCUAACUCUCUAAAACAAUUACUGCUUCUGCAACUUAAAACAAUUGGGACCGAAAGUGCUUUCCCCAAGGGAAAAAUAAAAGUGAGUUAGAUACAUUCCUUGACUGUCAGUCAUUGUUACUAAAGUGUAAAUUACCCAGGUUGGGGAAGCAUUUGAAACCUGGAAAGCACAGUGAUUAGGUUUAUAUAUUUUACUUCCCUCAUGCCCCUUGCCUGCUUACUAAUUAAAGCUUAACAAUUUUUCAAAUAUUUGGAAAGAUGGAAGCCUUCCUUAGGCUCUGCUCGUUGACAAAGGGCAAUAGUGUUUGCUUAAAAAUGGUUAUUUUACUUUGCACUACUGAGUUCUCUGACAGACGAUGGCUUAGAAAAUCUAUGCUUUGUAGAAGAGAUAAACCUAAAUCCAUUUUUUUGCAGACUGUUCUCUCCCUCCCCAAAUUCUCCAAGACUCUUCCCUCCCUCCUGGCCAAUCCCACGCUCCCCUCUUGAUGGUAACAAGAUGGUUUGUUUUCUCUUAUUCCAAGGUAAUUCCUGGGAACCUCUGAGUGAGCUUUGACUCCUCUUUCUCACCACUGGCCCUAGCUCUCCACAUCUUCACGUACUUGCCAAGUGCUUUAAAUUCUACCUCUGUGACCUGUGUCCCUUCUUUCCACAGCCACCACUCUAGUUCCAGACAUUAUUGCUCACCUACACCAUUACAAUAACCUUCCAAAUAACUGGCCUUCAGUCUUAUAACCAUUCUAAUCCAUCCCAAAUAACACUGCCAAGUUAAUUACCCUGAACUACAACUCUCAUUUCCCACCAUGUCACUCCCCUGCUUACAAGACUUUAAUGGCUCCCCAUUGCCUAUCCAAUUAACUACUAACUAGUCAACACGGUAUUCAAGGCUCUACCUCACUUAUCUCCACACUCCUGCACCAGGAAUGGCAAAUUGAUCUAUCUCAUGAAGGAGCUCCUGAGGUUGGUUGGAAAGGUGUGGGCUGUGAUUAAUUAAUGUCGUCUCCCAUGGGUGGAGGAUUGGGAGUGUGACACUCAUGCAGAGUUUGCCAAACUGCCUUACAUCCUUACAUAAUCGCUGCAAUCCCUGUGUAAUCCUCAGACCAAGCCACGUGCUGCCUCCUACGCUUCUUCCUGCUUGUAGUGCGGGAGACAGGGACAGGUGCCUAUGCGUCUUUUCCCCAAAUGCUCUUCUUGCCCUCUCCGUUUACUGAAACUCUACCUAUCAAGGUCCAUUCUGAAAGGCAACUCUUCUGUGGAACCUUCUCUGAUUUACCCCAAACCAAAUAUUUGAACUUAGUACUGUUGACCCUUGAACAACACAAGGGUUAGGGGCGCUGACCCACCGUGCAGUCGAAAAUCCACAUAUAACUUUUGACUCCCCCCAAAACGUCACUAAUAGCCUACUGUUCACUGGCAGCCUUACUGAUAACAUAAACAGUCAAUUCACAUUUAAUUUGUCUAUGCUUCAUACACUGUUCUUAGAAUAAAGUAAGCUAGAGAAAAGAAAAUGUCAUUAAGAAAAUCAUAAGGAAGAGAAAAUACAUUUAGAGUGCUGUACUAUAUUUAUAGAAAAAAAAAAUCCACAGAUAAGUGGACCCAUGCUGUUGAAACCUGGUUGGUCAAGGGUCAACUGUACUUUGCACCCCUUUUAAGGCACUUGGCACAAUUUAUCUAUUUUGUGCUGUCCUUGGUUGAAGAUUUGCCUUACUCUUCCUGGUAAAAGAUACAUUCCUUGAAAAUAGGGACUCUGCCCUUGCACAUAGUAGGCACUCAUUAGAGUUAGUGGAUUUGGGGAAUGGAAUUGAUAAACUAAUCAUAACGUAGCAUGUCCACACAGUGCUCUGUUACACAAUGAGAAUGAAAACCUAAGCGUUUCAACUUUCAAUCACUUGAACUAAGCCUUUCCUUCCUGGAUAAAAGAUCAGUUGACAUGUAUGGGCUGUUAAAAUUUAUAUAUGCAAAAAAGUUGACAGUUAUUUUCUUUGCAUUUUGUGGAGAGGGAGAGCAGGAAAAUUAUGGAAAUAUAUAGUAGAAUAUCCUUGGGAGAGGGGAGCUUUCUACAACAUGCCUAAGAACAAAGAAGACAAAAUUAAAACCGAGUGCCCAGACGACAAGUUUCUUUUCUUUCAAAAAAGCAUCAAGAAGCUGAAGCUGAACUCUGCCGGAAGUAGAAGAAACUCAAAUGAAAACACCGCACUGCUUUGGGGUAUGGGAGGGACUUCAUCCUCCUGCAAGGUUUGUAGGUACAGAGUCCGGCCAGGCCCAGCCAGCGAAGUCUGGGCUAGGAAGAGCCCACUGUUCAGAUCAGAGAAGGAAGCCUGUAAACCUGAGGUCCUCACGGAUGGGAACAGGAGAGCCAGGCUCACCAGAUGCUAGGAAAUAAGGAGGAAGAUUUACUCUGGCUGAUCCAGUGCAACUCUCUUCCCAUUUUGUGAAAGAGAGAACUAAAAUGCAGAGAACUGCCUUGCUCAAGACCACCCAGUUAAUCAGUGGCCUGACCUGGUAGCCUCAGAGCAGGAAUUCCAGACCCAGCCCUGCCACAGAGGAGCAGUCUAGGUCCGUUUCCUCAUCUACAGAUGAAGGUUGUUAGGAGGGUAGAUGAGAUGUUCUUCUAGAAUGCGUGCCACUCAAAAUUUUGCUACUAUUCUUAGUCAUCUUAGAGGAUUUAAUAAAAUACUGUAUACAACUGCCCUGUCCAGUACAGUAACCACUAGCUACAAGUGGCUACUGAAUACUUGGAAUGUGGCUAAUCCAAAUUGAACUAUAUGAUAUGUAUUAAAACCAACAUUAGAGUUUGAAGACAGUACACAAAAAUGUAGUGUCUCAUUAAUAGUUUUAUAUUGAUUGCAUGUUGAAAUGAUAACAGUUUGCAUCUAUCGGGUUAAAUAAAAUAUUCUGCUCAAGUUAAUUUCAUCUCUUUUAACUUUAAAAAAUCUGGCUACGGGGGACAACUGGGUGGCUCAGACGGUUAGGUGUCUUAACUGUGGCUCAGGUCAUGAUCCCAGGGUCCUGGGAUGAAGUCUGCUUCUCCCUCUGCCUGAUGCUCCUUCUGCUUGUGCUCUCUGUUUCUCUCUGACAAAUAAAUAAAAUCUUUAAAAAAAAUCUGACUACUGAAAAUAUAAAAUUUGUAUGUGCUUUGCUUUAUAUAUCUGUUGGAUAGUGCUAAUAUGGAACAUAUAUGGCACAUAGUAGGUGUAUGAUGAUUUAGAGUAAUCACUAGUGUUCAACUGGGGUAUCACUGGGUCGAGAGUUAAAUGACAUCUAUCUUGUCAUUUUACAAAAUCUUCAUUGUUCUCCUAUUACUUGCAGGGUAUUGAGCUGGAGUCUAGGGAAAAUAGAGACAGAACUAUUAUGUCUUACAGAGAAGGUAAAAAGUGCACACCAAACCUUAGUGGCAUUCAGGGAUGAGGCUACAAUGGCCCUAGAGACCAGCAUCUAAGUUGCUAAAAGUCUUUCUCAGGAAACAGAACACAAAGCAAAACUGAGCAGGAAGUACAGAGAUUUCCCAUAUACUUCCUGCUCCUAUAUAUUCACCACGUCCCCCCAUAACAUCCCACACCAGAGGGGUAUAUUUGUUACAACUGAUGAACUUACAUUGGCACACCCAAAGUCCAUCAUUUACAUUAAGGUUCACUCUUGGUGUUGUACAUCCUUUGGGUUUUGAUAAAUGUAUAAUGACAUGUAUCCGCCAUUAUAAUAUUGAACAGAGCAGUUUCACUGCCCUGAAAAUACUCUCUGCUCCUCCUAUUCAUCCCUCCCUCUCCCUGACCCUAGCAACCACUGAUUUUUUUUCUUAAAGAUUUUAUUUAUCUAUUUGAGAGAGAGACAGAGAGUGAACACAAGCGUCAGGCAGAGGGAGAAGCAGGCUCCCCGCGGAGCAGGGUGCCCAACAAGGGGCUCGAUCCUGGGACUCCAGGAUCAUGACCUGAGCCGAAAGCAGAUGCUUAACUGACUGAGCCAUCCAGGUGCCCUGCAACCACUGAUUUUUUUACUGUCUCCAUAGUUUAGCUUUUCCAGAACAUCACACAGAAUAUAUAUAUAUAGCCUUUUCAGGUCGCCUUCUUUCACUUAGUAAUUAAUACGCAUGUAAAUUUCCUCAUUCCAUAACUUAAUAGCUGAUUUCUUUUUAGCACAAAAUAAUAUUCCAUUGUCUGGAUAUACCACAGUUUAUCUAUUCACCAACUGAAGGACAUCUUGGUUGUUUUCAA